CUCGUUUAAGUAGUCUUUGAAGCAAAAUUCACGUUAACAUUGAAACCUCAGAGAAGUAUAUCUACAAAUGAUAGAAGUUACUGGUGUUUAACAGAAUUUCUAUGCUUUCCAUUUGGUCUCAGAUCACCUCUCUCUCUCUCAAUGGAAUGCAAGGCACAGAGUGAAGAAUUAUUUGUCUUCACAACUUCUUUCUUUUAGCUUUAUCACAAAUACCUCCAAGUCUCCUAACCUUUGCUCUAGGAAGUCAUCUGCAGCUGCCAGAGUUUUUCUUCAAGGCCUGGACAGACUCACUGCAGGAUCACUGCACUCUUCUGCAGGAUCACAUACUGUAGGGACAGGUAAGAGACCUUAGAGACUGAUCUAGUCUCACCCCAUGCCUAGUUUUUAACUGAGAUGAGGAAAGAGCCAGGAGUUUGCUCUUCUCUUUUGAGGAGCUGAUAAAAACUCAUCAAAUUCCCAGCUGUAGAGUUUUGACCAAGGGUCCAAUCCUGCAACCAUUGCAGUCACUGCAGGCUUAUACUGGCACAGCAACAAACAUCAGAGCAAAAAAAAAAAAAAAAAAAAACCAGGUCCAGAUGUUUUUCAUUUAAAAAAACACUGGUGUUUUCAAAAGCAGCAACGUUUCACAGUUAGUCUAUAAACUCUAAACAUAGAGUCCAUAUUACAUGAAGAAAUUUACCUAAACAUAAAAGCAAUUUCCACAUAGUCUUCUCUCUGUAAAACCUAGUGAGGUUUUCCUAAUGACCUAAUAAGAGAAAAGGUCAAUGUAAGGUUACUGAGUUAGGCUUAGUCAUGACUCCAUAUCCUCAGCAGACCCCAAUGCUGACACCUUUACCAUCAAAUCAAUGCAGUCAAGAUUUUUAUCCUCACAUACAAAGUUUUUCAAUACAUGUUGGGUGGAGGAGCCACAAGGAACAGACUCUCUUAAGCAACCAUUCCCUUUGGACAUCUGGCACAUCUCUUGGGCUGCUCCUUCUCUACCUACACUUCAUGCAUUCAGGACAGGAAGAAGUUCCACUUGGUUCACCAGGAGGAACAAACAGCUCAGGCUAAGGCUAAUGGUGCGCCAGCCAAGCCUCUGCGACUCCAUCUCAAAUAUUUUAAGAAUUUCCUCAGAUCUUAAUGCCCACCUCCAGAGUGGUAGUAAAUCCAGGAAAGCAAGUACACUGCAACUGCGUGUCUUACAGCAAAGAAAAAAGAAUAGGAGCUGAAAGCUGCAGCGACUGCGGUUCUUAAGAGAGAAGCACUGAGCAAGGAAGAUACAGAUAUGCUGGGCUCAGUUCACAGCCUUGCUACAGGCUUCUUGCCAGGAGUGAGACAAGCCAGUGAGAUGCUAUGGCCCAGUUCCCUAGCUACACAACAAGGUCAUCGCAUCUUUUCUCCUACACACAUUCUGCCUCAGUUACAGGUGGCAUCUCAGGGCCAUUGAAAAGCCCCUCUGCACAAAUCUGCAGGAAAGGACUCCACGGUGCCAUGAGGUUGUGUGUGAGAGUCUCCCAAGAACUGGUAAACUCAGGACACCAAGGGCCUGGUGAAUCUGUGCAAGGCAGGUGGCACAGAGCUGUAUCAACCAGCGGUAGCAUAAUUUGAACCAUCUUCAGAGAGACAGUAGACUGCUAUAUGCAGUCAAAAACUACGGGGUUAUACGUUCACUUGCUGACACAAGGGACCCCAAACAAGUUUCUGAAUGCCCCAGUUGUGUCAGGACCACCUCCCACUUCCAUGCAAGCAUAUAGUGGGUUUGGCCUCCUGAUGCUGUUUCUGCCAUACCUAGGUGUGAACUGUGCAAAGAAGUGAACACAGCGUGGGAACAGUUACUUUUACCCAUAAAAACAUCAUAAAUGGUGUUCUAACUAAUACUGGCUGUGAUCUGUGUCCCCCCCAAACUCAAUCUUCUUUCAGAGGAAAUUUACAGCAAUUCAUCAGGUGCUAUUGAAAUGUGGCCCAAUAUGGUUGUAAUCCUUUUAAGACCUCAGGAAGCUACUUUUAUAGUCAUUGCAUUAUUAUUACUGACAGUAGCAAGAAAUGGUUGCAGUUCAGUAAAAGGGAGUCUUCACUUCACUAUCUUGAUUUAUA
rnacentral:lncRNA from 1 species